rnacentral:misc_RNA from 1 species
GGCACUUCCGACGUCACACACAACUCGACGUCUUCUCCCUCUUCUGUUUCUGUUUCCUCGCCUAGAUACCGAUACACGUACGCGCGGCCCGCGCUCCUCGCCCGUGCAUCCUUUGCCUUUACAGCCCCCGUCUUCCCCCCUUCCUUUUCCACCGAUGCCUGCUGCUGCUGCUGCUGCUGCUGCUGCCUCGUCCGUGGAGCAGCGCCUUGCGCAACUGGUGCAGCGCUUUGAUGUGAUCGAGUCUGGCCUGAAGCACGUGCAGCAGCAGCUGCGGCACGGCGCCCCUGGUGGAGCCGCUGCCGGUGCGGCCUCCUCUGACGCGUCAUUAUGCCGUGCAAGCAGCACUGCCAAGGCACCAGCUGACCUGCCGGCGCUGCAGCCCGAUCCGAAGGAUCCGCUGGAGGUGGCGAGGCUGCGGCGCCAUUGUGUGGACAGCGGGCUGCACUCCACCGAGUUCCUGUGGGUGCCGUCGAACUACUAUCAGGAGAACCUGCAGUGGCGGCGCGACGCCCUGCGCGCGCCAACCAUUCGUCACCUAUGCAAGACAGUCUUGAUGGAGAACACACAUUGCACGAACAAAGACUGCGCGGAUCGCAACAACUCGCGCUACUACCUUGUCGUGUACCAGUACGUGGACCGCUUCAACUCUGACAUGGUCGGCCGCGCGAUCCAAGAGCUGAACCCCGGUAUGGGAAAGAAAAAAUUCAACUUCCGGCUGGCUGAUCCGGCAGAGGCGGAGAAGCUGACUGGGGUGCGCAGCGGCGCCGUUGCCCCGUUCGGCACUGCUAUCCCGAUUCCGGUGAUCGUGAGCAUCGGUAUUACAAAGCUGGCGCCACCGACCUUCUACGUCGGCGGUGGCCACGUGGACUGCAAGUGCCGGCUCGACGCGGCGGAGUUCAUCCGGGUGUCAAACGCGAUCGUGGCCCCAAUCAGCGUGCCUCUAACGGACGAGGAGCUUGAGCAGAUUGCGGACUAAAAGUGGGCAGCAAAGACGCGCGCACAGAGGCGGUGGGGGAAGCGACGCAGCAGUACGUGUGUUUCGAUAAGAGAUACGACGCCGCGGUCUUGUGCGUGUGCACGUGGAGCAGCUGAGUGCGGUGGCUGCUAACGACUCAGUGGAACGUGAGUGGCCCCUUGAAUGCCCCCUCCCCCAAGCCACUCCACAUGCUGCUCCCUCUCAUGACCUCUGACUCACUUACAGACGACUUUUGCUUCCAUGUACACCGUCCCCAUGCAGAGAAGACGAUGCGCGUGUCUGCGUAGAGGACUUGCCGCGUAGGGAUUGGCCGCAUUCCGCGACGGAGCAGGUCCCCCCCCCCCCCCCCAUUCCCUUUACCCAAGCGCAGGGCAUGCCUACGUGCAGACAAACACAGUAAUGCGGACAGUGAAAGCCACCGUCAUGCGUGCCGUCGAGGCACUCGUUCACAGACUACAAGAAAACAAUGAUCGUUACGCUGCGGCACGGCGGCGCUCCGCCGUGCAGCAGCAGCACUCUGCUAUUGUGCUGCCCCUCCCUUUCUCUUGCACUCUCCCCAUCUCUCCACACACACCACACUUUCGUUAUGCCUUUUCAUGCGUGCACAUAUGGCUCGUCGACGUGCACACUGACACACACACGUCCUCACACCGGCACGCCUCAUUCUCUACCACAAUCUGUACACAG